rnacentral:lncRNA from 1 species
AGAUGUCGAUGAAGUCGAGGUUCUGGAACUGGUUGAGGCCGAAUUCGGCGAGGGUGUUGGGCGGGGCGCCGUAGGCCGUGCAGGCGAGUUUACCACCGCAGUCACCGGUCUGGCAGUGCCCGUUGCCGUUGCCGUCGAACGAGCAGCCGGUGCGGGCCCAGACGCGGCCCCCGGUGGUUUUGGGGUUGACGUUGAUGUUCCAGGACUGGCCGCGGUCGAGCCGGCGACCUCCGCCGGGGACCGCGGCGGCCCAGACGGGGUAGGGGCAGUUGUUGACGAUGUUGAAGGUGGCGGCGUGGGAGAGGGUGAAGAGGAGGAAGGGGAAGAAGAGGAGGAGGAGGAGAGGGGAUGAGG